ACUAUCAUUAACUGAAUCCAUAGGUUAAUGAGGCGAACCGGGGGAACUGAAACAUCUAAGUACCCCGAGGAAAAGAAAUCAACCGAGAUUCCCCCAGUAGCGGCGAGCGAACGGGGAGGAGCCCAGAGCCUGAAUCAGUGUGUGUGUUAGUGGAAGCGUCUGGAAAGGCGCGCGAUACAGGGUGACAGCCCCGUACACAAAAAUGCACAUAUUGUGAGCUCGAUGAGUAGGGCGGGACACGUGGUAUCCUGUCUGAAUAUGGGGGGACCAUCCUCCAAGGCUAAAUACUCCUGACUGACCGAUAGUGAACCAGUACCGUGAGGGAAAGGCGAAAAGAACCCCGGCGAGGGGAGUGAAAAAGAACCUGAAACCGUGUACGUACAAGCAGUGGGAGCCUCUUAAUGGGGUGACUGCGUACCUUUUGUAUAAUGGGUCAGCGACUUAUAUUCUGUAGCAAGGUUAACCGAAUAGGGGAGCCGAAGGGAAACCGAGUCUUAACUGGGCGUUAAGUUGCAGGGUAUAGACCCGAAACCCGGUGAUCUAGCCAUGGGCAGGUUGAAGGUUGGGUAACACUAACUGGAGGACCGAACCGACUAAUGUUGAAAAAUUAGCGGAUGACUUGUGGCUGGGGGUGAAAGGCCAAUCAAACCGGGAGAUAGCUGGUUCUCCCCGAAAGCUAUUUAGGUAGCGCCUCGUGAAUUCAUCUCCGGGGGUAGAGCACUGUUUCGGCAAGGGGGUCAUCCCGACUUACCAACCCGAUGCAAACUGCGAAUACCGGAGAAUGUUAUCACGGGAGACACACGGCGGGUGCUAACGUCCGUCGUGAAGAGGGAAACAACCCAGACCGCCAGCUAAGGUCCCAAAGUCAUGGUUAAGUGGGAAACGAUGUGGGAAGGCCCAGACAGCCAGGAUGUUGGCUUAGAAGCAGCCAUCAUUUAAAGAAAGCGUAAUAGCUCACUGGUCGAGUCGGCCUGCGCGGAAGAUGUAACGGGGCUAAACCAUGCACCGAAGCUGCGGCAGCGACACUAUGUGUUGUUGGGUAGGGGAGCGUUCUGUAAGCCUGUGAAGGUGGCCUGUGAGGGUUGCUGGAGGUAUCAGAAGUGCGAAUGCUGACAUAAGUAACGAUAAAGCGGGUGAAAAGCCCGCUCGCCGGAAGACCAAGGGUUCCUGUCCAACGUUAAUCGGGGCAGGGUGAGUCGACCCCUAAGGCGAGGCCGAAAGGCGUAGUCGAUGGGAAACAGGUUAAUAUUCCUGUACUUGGUGUUACUGCGAAGGGGGGACGGAGAAGGCUAUGUUGGCCGGGCGACGGUUGUCCCGGUUUAAGCGUGUAGGCUGGUUUUCCAGGCAAAUCCGGAAAAUCAAGGCUGAGGCGUGAUGACGAGGCACUACGGUGCUGAAGCGACAAAUGCCCUGCUUCCAGGAAAAGCCUCUAAGCAUCAGGUAACAUCAAAUCGUACCCCAAACCGACACAGGUGGUCAGGUAGAGAAUACCAAGGCGCUUGAGAGAACUCGGGUGAAGGAACUAGGCAAAAUGGUGCCGUAACUUCGGGAGAAGGCACGCUGAUAUGUAGGUGAAGCGACUUGCUCGUGGAGCUGAAAUCAGUCGAAGAUACCAGCUGGCUGCAACUGUUUAUUAAAAACACAGCACUGUGCAAACACGAAAGUGGACGUAUACGGUGUGACGCCUGCCCGGUGCCGGAAGGUUAAUUGAUGGGGUUAGCGGUAACGCGAAGCUCUUGAUCGAAGCCCCGGUAAACGGCGGCCGUAACUAUAACGGUCCUAAGGUAGCGAAAUUCCUUGUCGGGUAAGUUCCGACCUGCACGAAUGGCGUAAUGAUGGCCAGGCUGUCUCCACCCGAGACUCAGUGAAAUUGAACUCGCUGUGAAGAUGCAGUGUACCCGCGGCAAGACGGAAAGACCCCGUGAACCUUUACUAUAGCUUGACACUGAACAUUGAGCCUUGAUGUGUAGGAUAGGUGGGAGGCUUUGAAGUGUGGACGCCAGUCUGCAUGGAGCCGACCUUGAAAUACCACCCUUUAAUGUUUGAUGUUCUAACGUGGGCCCCUUACCGGGGUUGCGGACAGUGUCUGGUGGGUAGUUUGACUGGGGCGGUCUCCUCCUAAAGAGUAACGGAGGAGCACGAAGGUUGGCUAAUCCUGGUCGGACAUCAGGAGGUUAGUGCAAUGGCAUAAGCCAGCUUGACUGCGAGCGUGACGGCGCGAGCAGGUGCGAAAGCAGGUCAUAGUGAUCCGGUGGUUCUGAAUGGAAGGGCCAUCGCUCAACGGAUAAAAGGUACUCCGGGGAUAACAGGCUGAUACCGCCCAAGAGUUCAUAUCGACGGCGGUGUUUGGCACCUCGAUGUCGGCUCAUCACAUCCUGGGGCUGAAGUAGGUCCCAAGGGUAUGGCUGUUCGCCAUUUAAAGUGGUACGCGAGCUGGGUUUAGAACGUCGUGAGACAGUUCGGUCCCUAUCUGCCGUGGGCGCUGGAGAACUGAGGGGGGCUGCUCCUAGUACGAGAGGACCGGAGUGGACGCAUCACUGGUGUUCGGGUUGUCAUGCCAAUGGCACUGCCCGGUAGCUAAAUGCGGAAGAGAUAAGUGCUGAAAGCAUCUAAGCACGAAACUUGCCCCGAGAUGAGUUCUCCCUGACUCCUUGA
rnacentral:rRNA from 1 species